rnacentral:rRNA from 1 species
CCUACGGGAGACUGCAGUGAGGAAUAUUGGUCAAUGGGCGCAAGUCUGAACCAGCCAUGCAGCGUGAAGGAUGACUGCUCUAUGAGUUGUAAACUGCUUUUGUACGAGGGUAAACCCCGGUACGUGUGUCGGGUUGAAAGUAUCGUACGAAUAAGGAUCGGCUAACUCCGUGCCAGCAGCCGCGGUAAUACGGAGGAUCCGAGCGUUAUCCGGAUUUAUUGGGUUUAAAGGGUGCGUAGGCGGGUUGAUAAGUUAGAGGUGAAAGGUUGGGGCUCAACCCCGAAACUGCCUCUAAUACUGGCGGACUUGAGAACAGUUGAGGUAGGCGGAAUUCAUGGUGUAGCGGUGAAAUGCUUAGAGAUCACACAGAACACCGAUUGCGAAGGCAGCUUACUAAACUAUAUCUGACGUUGAGGCACGAAAGCGUGGGUAGCAAACAGGAUUAGAUACCCUAGUAGUC